AGAGUUUGAUCAUGGCUCAGAUUGAACGCUGGCGGAAUGCUUUACACAUGCAAGUCGAGCGGCAGCGCGGGGGCAACCCUGGCGGCGAGCGGCGAACGGGUGAGUAACAUAUCGGAACGUACCCCGUCUGGGGGGAUAACACAGCGAAAGCUGUGCUAAUACCGCACGCGACCUGAGGGUGAAAAGCGGGGGGACCGUAAGGCCUCGCGCGAUGGGAGCGGCCGAUAUCGGAUUAGCUUGUUGGUGAGGUAAAGGCUCACCAAGGCGACGAUCCGUAGCUGGUCUGAGAGGACGACCAGCCACACUGGAACUGAGACACGGUCCAGACUCCUACGGGAGGCAGCAGUGGGGAAUUUUGGACAAUGGGGGCAAGCCUGAUCCAGCCAUGCCGCGUGAGUGAAGAAGGCCUUCGGGUUGUAAAGCUCUUUCGGUGGGGAAGAAAUUGCACGGGUUAAUACCCUGUGUAGAUGACGGUACCCGACUAAGAAGCACCGGCUAACUACGUG
rnacentral:rRNA from 1 species